AUGGCAGAAGUUCUCCAUAGUCAGAAACUCGUCUUGUUUAGCUAUGUUACUGUGUUUGUUGUUCUUAUAUGCAUUGGACCCAUCAAAUCUCAAGCACAAUCUGGGACUCUUGCCACUGAAGAAGUUGAUGCUCUGGAAGAAAUUACUCGUACAAUGGGAGCUAAGUAUUGGAAGUUCAAUGGGGGUUCUUGCCAAAUUGAAUUGGUUGGGGUAACUGCCGAGCUGCCAGAGGCAUCUGAGAGUAGCAUCAAAUGUGAAUGCAACAACACUGUCUGUCACGUCGUAAAGCUAGUACUCGAGAGGUUUAGUCUACCUGGAAAACUUUCACCUCAACUGGUGAAACUCCCUUACCUUAGAGAAAUUGAUUUGGCUUAUAAUUAUCUCAGUGGUACGAUACCAGCAGAAUGGGGUUCAAUGCAGUUAACAUCAAUCUCUCUUCUUGUAAAUCGCUUAUCAGGGGAGAUUCCAGUGGAGUUGGGAAAUAUUACCACUCUAACAUACCUGACUCUUGAAGCAAAUCAAUUCUCUGGAGUUGUUCCUCCUGAGCUUGGGAGUUUAAUCAACUUGGGAAGUUUGAGGCUGUCCUCCAAUUAUUUGACUGGAAAUAUACCGAACACAUUUGCUGGUCUAAGAAAUUUGACAGAUUUUAGGAUAAAUGAUAACAACUUCAAUGGGACUAUACCUGAUUUUAUACAGAAUUGGAAACAACUCAGUAGAUUAGAAAUACAUGGCAGUGGGCUUCGUGGACCUAUCCCGUCAAAUAUAUCGCUCCUGAGUAAUUUAGUUGAGUUGAGGAUUAGUGAUAUAAAUGGAACAGAGCAAGAUUUUCCUAUGCUGAAAAACAUGACUGGCCUAAUCAAAUUGAUUCUGAGGAACUGUAACAUUUCUGGAAAGAUCCCUCCUUACAUGUGGACACUGCAGAACCUGACAAUGCUGGAUGUAAGUUUUAACAAGUUGAUAGGGGAAAUUCCAACCACAAUCAGCAUAGAGCGAUUGAAAUUCCUAUUCUUAACCGGGAACUCUCUGAGUGGAAGUAUACCAGACUUGAUCUUCAAAGAUGGAAGUAGUGUUGAUCUAUCGUACAAUAACUUCACAUGGCAAGGCCCUGAGCGACCUGCUUGUCAGGCAAAAGAGAAUCUAAACCUGAACUUGUUUCGAAGCUCUUCCUCAGAGAGCAACUUAAAGAGAGGUCUUCCGUGCUUGAAGAGCUUGAUUUGUCCUCGCUAUUCGACUUGUUUGCAUGUAAAUUGUGGUGGGAAUGACAUCACUGUCAAAGAAAACAAAGAAAGCAUUCUGUAUCUAGGAGAUGGAGGAAUUGAAGGUAACGCUGCAGAGAAUUUCUUCAAUGAUGAUCAUUAUUGGGGAUUUAGUAGCACCGGAGACUUCAUGGAUGACAAAGGUUUCCAAAAUUCACGUUACUCUGUAUCUGUGGCAUCUUCGAAUCACUCGGAAUUAUAUACAACAGCACGCAGAGCUCCAAUUUCACUCGCUUAUUUUCAUUAUUGCUUAGAAAAUGGUAACUAUACUCUAAGUCUGCACUUCGCGGAGAUACAGUUUACAAAUAACCAAACAUUCACAAGUCUUGGGAGGCGCAUAUUUGAUAUCUAUAUUCAGGAUAAACUAUGGUGGAAGGACUUCAAUAUUGAAGAUCAGGCCAAGUUGGCUCAAACUCCAGUAGUACUACGACAAAAUAUAAGUGUGACUAAUAAUGUCUUAGAGAUCCGAUUCUAUUUUGCGGGUAAAGGGACAACCAGGAUUCCUGACAAAGGAGUUUAUGGUCCCCUUGUCUCUGCUAUUUCAGUGAAAUCUGAUUUCAGACCUUGCUCUAGUGCUGGUAAUAAGGGAACUACUCAAAUUGUCAUUGGGCUUGUAGUAGGAGCACUAUGCCUAGUAUUUCUUGUUUUAGGAAUCCUAUGGUGGACAGGCAACUUGCCAGGCUGUCUGGUCGAUAGUCAUACAUCAAGGGAAGAAGUUCUGAGAGGACUGGAUCAACAGACUGGUUUUUUCACCUUGAGGCAAAUGAAAGCUGCCACUAAUAACUUUGAUCCUUUAAACAAAAUUGGAGAAGGUGGUUUUGGGUCCGUCUACAAGGGUGUACUAUUGGAUGGCACUGUAAUUGCAGUUAAGCAACUAUCCUCAAAAUCAAAGCAGGGAAAUCGUGAAUUUGUGAACGAAAUAGGGAUGAUCUCUUGCUUGCAGCAUCCAAAUCUGGUUAGAAUGUAUGGAUGUUGUAUUGAAGCAAACCAGUUAUUGUUGGUAUAUGAGUACAUGGAAAACAAUAGCCUUGCUCGCGCUUUGUACGGUCCAGAGGAUGAUCUCCUAAACUUGGACUGGCCUACAAGGCAGAAAAUAUGCGUAGGCAUAGCAAAAGGUCUGGCUUAUCUGCACGAGGAAUCGGCAGUAAAGGUUGUACAUAGAGACAUCAAAACUACUAAUGUGUUACUGGACCAAGACCUCAAUGCUAAGAUCUCGGACUUUGGUUUGGCCAAGCUUGACGAAGAGGAGAACACUCACAUUAGCACCAGGGUUGCUGGAACUAUAGGAUACAUGGCACCAGAAUAUGCGCUAUGGGGUUGUUUGACUUACAAGGCAGAUGUCUACAGUUUUGGAGUUGUUGCACUAGAAACUGUUUCAGGAAAUAACAACAUGAAAUAUCGACCCAAUGAGAACAUUCAAUGUCUUAUGGAUUGGGCCCAUGUUUUGCAUCAAAAAGGGAACUUACUGGAGCUGGUGGAUCCGAGGUUGGGAUCCGAUUUCAAUAAGAAAGAGGCACUUAGAACUAUCAAAGUAGCUCUACUGUGCGCCAAUCCAACAGCUGCACUCAGGCCUAUCAUGUCUGCAGUAGUGAGUAUGCUUGAAGGGCGAACCCCAGUGGAUGAAAUGGCUUUGGAUCCAAGUAUCCAUGGUGAUGAAAUGAUGAGAGGAUACAUGGCACCGGAAUAUGUGUUAUGGGGUUGUUUGACCUAUAAAGCAGAUGUCUACAGUUUUAGAGUUGCUGCAUUAGAAACUGUUGCAGGAAAGAACAACAUGAAAUAUCGACCGAAUGAGAAUAUUCAAUAUCUUAUGGAUUGGGCUCUUGUUUUGCAACCAAAAGGGGACUUACUGGAGCUGCUGGAUCCGAGGUUGGGGUCCAAUUUCAAUAAGAAAGAGGCGAUUAGAACCAUCAAAGUAGCUCUGCUGUGCGCCAAUCCAACAGCUGCACUUAGGCCUGUCAUGUCUACAGUAGUGAGAAUGCUUGAAGGGCGGAUCGUUGUGGAUGACGUUGUUCUGGAUCCAAAUAUCUAUGCUGAUGAAAUGACGAAGUUAAGAGCCUUGAGAAACCAGUUUGAUCACAAUGCACCAUGGAUCAGCUCCCCAAGUGGAAGUCAUAGCCUCAUGCGUUCAUCAGAUGCACCAUGGACCGGUUCUUCUGGUACCACUACUUUUCUUAAAGGGCAAGAUCUUGCUGGUGUACUUCCACCAUCUAUUGCAAAGUUACCUUACCUUACACAUGCAAAUAUUGCUAAUGUUAUUAGUAAUAUCUUUUCUGUUCUCUACAGCGAUUUCUCAAGGAACUUCAUCAGUGGUAAUAUACCGAGUGAAUGGGCUUCUACAAAGUUGGAAUUAAUGUCCCUCAGUGUGAACAACUUAUCUGGACCAAUCCCUGCCUUCCUAGGAAACAUUACCACUCUAAGAAUCUUGAGUCUAGAGACAAAGAUGUUUUCUGGAACUGUUCCUCCUGAGAUUGGGAAGUUGGUCAACUUGCAGAUUCUCAUCAUUAGUGCAAACAAUCUCACAGGAGUCUUAUCAGUGGAUCUCACAAAUCUGACCAAAUUAAUAGAAUUGAGGAUUAGCAGUAACAACUUCACAACUUCCCGACUUCUUCCGAGUUGGAGUCAACUUAAGAAAUUAGAGAUCCAAGCUAGUGUUCUACAAGGCCCCAUUCCGUCUAGCAUUUCUGUCUUGAGUAAUUUAACAGAAUUAAGGAUCAGCGACUUAAACGGAGGGGGUUCAGUAUUUCCAAACCUAACUAAUAUGAAAAUCAUGAGAAGAUUAAUGCUAAGGAGCUGUAAUUUAUCUGGACCUAUUCCUGAUUUAAAAGCAAUGCAAGUAUUGAAUAUAUUAGAUCUCAGCUUCAACAGAUUGGAAGGAAGCUUUCCUGAUGUUGAAGCUAUGGUUCUGGAUCCAGACAAUUUGUAUCUGACUAGCAACUUGCUCACUGGUUCUAUUCCACAAUGGAUCAAGAGCAAAGAUAACCGCUACCAGAUAGAUGUUUCUUACAAUAAUUUUUCCAAGGACUCUGAGCCACCUACAUGCAGCGAAGUUCAGUACUCAUUGCAUAUAAAUUGUGGUGGAGAGGCGACCACGAUUGGUGGAGUUAAAUUUGAAGAUGAUACAGAUCUUGGAGGUGGAGCAAAAUUUAUCCAGGUGAGACCUAACUGGGGAACCAGUAGCACGGGAUUUUUCUGGGAUACUAACAUCACCUCUUAUGACUACAUAGCAAAUAAUGUAUCAAUACUUGGAAUGAUAAACUCUGAGUUGUACACUCAUGCUCGCCUCAGUCCUCUCUCUCUCACAUAUUAUGCAAACUGCUUAGCAGAAGGAAACUAUACUGUGAGCCUUCACUUUGCGGAGAUAAUAAUCCGAGGCAAUAAAUCUUAUCAAAGUGUUGGAAGACGGAUAUUUGAUGUAUAUAUUCAGGAGAAACUUGUAUUGAAGGAUUUUGACAUUGUAAAAGCAGCACAAGGGGUUGAUAAGGUAGUCAUAGUGGACACAAAAGCAGUUCAAGUUACAAACAAAUCUCUAGAGAUUCGGUUUCAUUGGUCUGGAAAAGGCACAACAGCAUCCCCUAGACGAGGAAUCUAUGGUCCCCUUAUAUCAGCCAUUUCUAUAGAGCCUGAGUUCAAGCCUCCUAAAACUCAUGAUAGCAAAGGAGAGAUGUAUAUGGUGGUUGGAGCUUCAGUUUUGUGCCUUUUGUUCUUAACUUUUGGCAUUCUGUGGUGGAAAGGCUGUCUGGGGGAUAGUCAGACAUCAAGGGAAGAAGGUGCUGAUCUACAGACAGCUGGUAUUUUCACCUUGAGGCAAAUGAAAACUGCCACCAAUAACUUUGAUCCUAUAAACAAAAUUGGAGAAGUGGUUUUGGGUCCGUCUACAAGGGUGUACUAUUGGAUGGUACUAUAAUUGCAGUUAAGCAACUAUCCUCAAAAUCAAAGCAGGGAAAUCGUGAAUUUGUGAACGAAAUCGGGAUGAUCUCUUGCUUGCAGCAUCCAAAUCUGGUUAGAAUGUAUGGAUGUUGUAUUGAAGCAAACCAGUUAUUGUUGGUAUAUGAGUACAUGGAAAACAAUAGCCUUGCUCGCGCUUUGUACGGUCCAGAGGAUGAUCUCCUAAACUUGGACUGGCCUACAAGGCAGAAAAUAUGCGUAGGCAUAGCAAAUGGUCUGGCUUAUCUGCACGAGGAAUCGGCGGUGAAGGUUGUACAUAGAGACAUCAAAACUACUAAUGUGUUACUGGACCAAGACCUCAAUGCUAAGAUCUCGGACUUUGGUUUGGCCAAGCUUGACGAAGAGGAGAACACUCACAUUAGCACGAGGGUUGCUGGAACUAUAGGAUACAUGGCACCAGAAUAUGCGUUAUGGGGUUGUUUGACCUAUAAGGCAGAUAUCUACAGUUUUGGAGUUGUUGCACUAGAAACUAUUUCAGGAAAGAUCGAACAACAUGAAAUAUGGAUCCAAUGAGAACAUUCAAUGUCUUAUGGAUUGGGCCCAUGUUUUGCAUCAAAAAGGGAACUUACUGGAGCUGGUGGAUCCGAGGUUGGGAUCCGAUUUCAAUAAGAAAGAGGCGCUUAGAAUUAUCAAAGUAGCUCUACUGUGCGCCAAUCCAACAGCUGCACUCAGGCGAAUCAUGUCUGCAGUAGUGAGUAUGCUUGAAGGGCGAACCCCAAUGGAUAAGGUGGCUUUGGAUCCAAGUAUCCAUGGUGAUGAAAUGACGAGGUUAAGAGCCUUCGAAAGCCUGUCUGAGCAGAAUGCACAAGGAAGCUCACCAAGUGGAAGUCACAACCUUGUGUGUUCAUCAGAUGCACAAUGGACUGGUUCUUCUGAUACUACUACGUCGUCAGAUCUCUAUAAAGUUUAUUCAAGUUAA